AUUGAACGCUGGCGGCAUGCUUUACACAUGCAAGUCGAACGGUAACAGGGAGCUUGCUCCGCUGACGAGUGGCGAACGGGUGAGUAAUGCAUCGGAACGUACCCAGUCGUGGGGGGAUAACGUAGCGAAAGUUACGCUAAUACCGCAUACGUCCUGAGGGAGAAAGCGGGGGACCGUAAGGCCUCGCGCGAUUGGAGCGGCCGAUGUCGGAUUAGCUAGUUGGUAGGGUAAAGGCCUACCAAGGCGACGAUCCGUAGCGGGUCUGAGAGGAUGAUCCGCCACACUGGGACUGAGACACGGCCCAGACUCCUACGGGAGGCAGCAGUGGGGAAUUUUGGACAAUGGGCGAAAGCCUGAUCCAGCCAUGCCGCGUGAGUGAAGAAGGCCUCGGUGUAAG
rnacentral:rRNA from 1 species